rnacentral:rRNA from 1 species
UACGAAGGGGGCUAGCGUUGCUCGGAAUCACUGGCGUAAAGCGCACGUAGGCGGCUUCUUAAGUCAGGGGUGAAAUCCUGGAGCUCAACUCCAGAACUGCCUUUGAUACUGAGGAGCUUGAGUCCGGGAGAGGUGAGUGGAACUCCGAGUGUAGAGGUGAAAUUCGUAGAUAUUCGGAAGAACACCAGUGGCGAAGGCGGCUCACUGGCCCGGUACUGACGCUGAGGUGCGAAAGCGUGGGGAGCAAACAGG